rnacentral:lncRNA from 1 species
GGAAACAGAUUGGGUAAUUUUAGGUUAAUUAAACCUAGAGCAAUGCUCCUAUGCACCAAAAAGAUCUCGGCUUUUAAAUUUUUUAAAAUGAAUGAUGGAGAUGUCUUUUAGUUAAGAGGAUGACUAGCUUUUGUUGCCUUAAGUACCAGUCACCCUCUUACCCAAGGGCAAACUAUUUCCUCAUAUGUAAAAUUAGCGUGAAGGGCUUUUUGUAAAUUUCUAUUUUCAUUCUCAUAAUGUCUCUUUAGUAAUUAUAAAAUAUCUCAUUCUAUUUUUGAAUUUUAAUAUUGUUUUUUUACUAUCGAAUAAACAAUUUGAAUUUAAUUUUAAAAAUAGAAGCCUUUAAUUUAAAUAAAUAAUAAAAGUUAUAUUUAUAAAUACAACAUAAUUUACAAUUUAAAAUAAGUUAAUAUAUUUGAAUUUCGUGUCAUUUUAAUAUCAAAUUAACAAUUUGAAUUGAAAUAUACUAUUCAUUUAAACAUAAAUUUUUUCGUUCUGAAAAUUAAAAUUAAAAUUAAAAUUGAAUUUAAUGUACACAAUUAUAAAGUUUAAGCUCAAAUUGAAUUUUAAAUUCAAUUUUAUAAAAGUUUAUUACUUAUCAAAUUAGCACUAUCUAAUUUGGUAAGUAAUAAAAUUAAAUAAGGAAACAAAUAUUUGUAUAGGGUUAAUCAAAUUUGGUAAUUAGUUUGUACUUAUUUUCUCAUAUUAUCCUUACGAAUGGUAACCUGUUGAGCAAGUAACUAUUAGCAAAAAUCAAUCUUGCCCUUAAAAUAUGAACGGCUAGAUUUAAUUUAGCCGGUGUAUUGAAGCAUUACUCUUAAACCUAAAACUUAUCAUAAUUUUAAGGAUUUGAAUU